rnacentral:rRNA from 1 species
AUGCAUUAUUUGGACAAGGCGGCUUUGAUGGAUGGAAAUGCCGAUGAAGGGGAGGAGGCCAUGGUUUUUGACACAAACCCAAGAUAUGAUGAUAUUGUCGUGAAAGUGAGAAGCGUCCUUAAUUGGAUUAACCUAAGUGAUGGUGUGAAACUUAUUGGGAGGUAUGAUAUGGGAGUGGGAGUAAAGUCCCGAUUAAAGAGUAUGCCCAUCACCUCUCAAUUGCAUUGGGAUGUGUAUAAGGAUAAAGUUGAGGGAUCACAAGACAAGUCACUUGAGUUAUUUGCCACAAAUGUUGAAGUUCCUCGGCUACUACUCGACUUGAACCGGAAUGUGUCCUCCCCAAUACAUGAUGGUGUCGUGGUCUAUGACCACAAUGCGGGUAGCCAACCACCAAGUAGCCAACCAAAUGAAGAGGACAUCAAUGCUAGAGCCAGAGUUCUUCUAGGCGAUGAUCAUGUUGGAGAUAAGGCUGUUGCUCAUGUUGAUGAACAUGCAAUUGUUCAUGUUGAUGAAGAUGCCAUUGCUCAUGUUGAUGGAGAUGCUAUUGCUCAAGAUGAUGUGUAUGCGGAACAAGAAGAGAAUUGA